rnacentral:lncRNA from 1 species
GGCCACAUCCCUUCCUGAUUCCACCUAGGGCACCAUCUGUAAUUCUCCCCGCCAAGUCACGAAAGGUCUGGAAGAGAUCGAAGAGACCAUCUUUUUCCACCCUUUCAAUUUGUAGAUGAAGAAACUGAAUCCCAGAGAGAAGAGACUGGUCCAAGGUCACAUCGUACAUAGCAGAGUUGUGCCUCAAACCUACUUUCUCUAAAUCUGAGCCAGAGAGUGAUUCCAUUCUAGACGCUGACCAUUCUACACUUCUCCUGGUGGGCAAAAAUGUGACUGAAGUCAUCAGCGGGGGAGGAGCCACCUCUGCUUGAUAAUUGAGCCGCCAUCAGAAGGGCCACCGUUUGGCAGGCAGUUAAGUAUUUGAAGAAAGAAGGACCUUUGGCAGUGAAAGACUCACAGACAAGUAACAAUUUGUUAUGGACCAGCUGCUGGAAAACAGUGGACUUGGUGAUCUCCAAGCUCCCCCCUUCACACCCCGACUUAAAGCUCUAACAUUUCAUGGAAGCUCUCUUCUGGUUUGAGUAGAAUCAAAAUAGCACUGCCUAAAUUUCAUUGUGCCAUUUCCUCCAGGUCAUGUGUGACAACUACACAAAGAGACCCAUUAUAGUGGCAUUCAUUAACUGGUACUUAAGUAAUAUUAAAUUACAAUGGCGUCCACCCAGAGCAGGCCACAGAAUUUUGAAUUAUGAUCAAUGCAACUACAGUGAAAAUGUGUCUCUCGGACAGCCUGUCUUUCAUCAAGCCCAGAAUGAAAACCAUCAGAGCACAGUGUUGGUGAUUCCAGAGUUAUAUCUCAGAAGAAGAACCCAAUAUAGGUGA